AAGCGUCUUCAGGGCAGGGUGGAAUUCCCGACCGGCGGUGAUGGACAAGUUCUUGUCCUAAGCCCGCGAGCCCUUCGAAAGAAGGGUUGAUCUGGUGAAAAUCCAGAGCCGACGGUUAAAGUCCGGAUGGGAGAAGACGGAA
rnacentral:ncRNA from 2 species